CCCUUAGAUGUUCUGGGCCGCACGCGCGCUACACUGAUGCAUUCAACGAGUCUAAAACCUGCUCUGAUAGGGGUGGGUAAUCUUUUGAAUGUGCAUCGUGAUUGGGAUAGAUGAUUGCAAUUUUUCAUCUUCAACGAGGAAUGCCUAGUAAACGCAAGUCAUCAGCUUGCAUUGAUUACGUCCCUGCCCUUUGUACACACCGCCCGUCGCUCCUACCGAUUGAAUGGUUUAGUGAGAUCUUCGGAUUGGCGCCACUGCGGCUCAGCAAUGGGCUCGGUGGAUGCCGAAAAGUUGAUCAAACUUGAUCAUUUAGAGGAAGUAAAAGUCGUAACA
rnacentral:rRNA from 1 species